UCUGACUGAAGCACAGAUCACCGUUUUUGUCUCUCUUUCUGCCCGUCAGCCUGAACUGGAACGCCAACAGCUCACAACUGCAACGUCUUCCCUUAGAAUCUGCUGCUAAAUGGCAGGAAUGACACCAGAGCUGGUCUUCACCUUCUGAGUGCUGCGCUGUACGCCGCCGUUAAUCAUUAACUACGUGUUGAGCUCCACCCACACCCGUGCUGUUCCCUACCAUACCGUACCAUUGAUCUCAGUACACAAAAAUGGAAGGGUGCCAAGGAGUGUGACAGGACAGGAGCAUAACACCUGACUUUAAGAAGCCAACCUGUGUGCAUGUGUAAUAUACUGUAUUCCAUAUAAGCAAAAUUCCUGUAUUUGUUCCCAUCUCAAAAAAGGAUCAUUGUGAUUUGAAAUGUGUGGUUGACAAGAGAAAAGGAUCGGGUUUGGUUUGAUUUCUGAUGUUCUGAACAGGGAGAAGAUGGGAAGUCGGGCUCACCUGGACGUGAUGGAAAACAUGGGAAGGAUGUAUGUCAAUCCCCAUUUAAUACGUGAUCUCCAUUUUUGUUACUUAUGUCUUCAAUUUGUGUUCCCUGUGUCAUCAUGACACAUGGAGAUGGAACAAUCAGGUCGUUCCAUUCUGAUGUAACCGCAGGGCCUACAUAACAAAUCAGAAGAAUUCUAUUUUAUUUUUCUUACAAUAGUCACAGAUGUGAGCUGCCCCUCUGGUCCGUCAGCAGCAGAAUAUUCUGCACUGCUGUCUGAAACCAAAAUAGAACCAAACCAAAAAUGUGGCAGUUGUAUCUUCUUCUCUCCAAACUGGAAUAAAAGUGUUUCUUUAGAAUCAGCUUUCUUUAAAAUAAACACAGCUGUCGUGUUUCCUGUUAUUUCAAUUAAAGCCAAAGAUGCUGAUUGGUCGUAAUAAAGAUCAAUACAUGCACUUUUAUUUUAGCAUCUUUAUCGGGUAUAUUGUGGCGCUUGUUUUCCCAGGGCUCCAGGGGAUCUCCAGGACCAGAAGGACUGCUUGGACCAAGAGGAGAACCAGGCAAACAAGGUGAACCAGGACCAUCAGGAAAAGCAGGUCUUCCAGGAACACCUGGUCUUAGAGGCGAGAAGGGCGAGGCUGGCAGUCCAGGAUUACCCGGCUUUAGUGGGCCCAAAGGUCCCACGGUGAGUAUUGGGAGGACUCAUUUAAAGAUUAUUGCAAAUUAUAAAUUUUAACUUGGCUUGCAGGGGCCACCAGGUCCAGCUGGUCCAGAGGGCAAGCAGGGAAUUCCUGGCAGAGUUGGAGAUCGUGGUAUCAAAGGCGAUAAGGUGAGGACCUAA
rnacentral:lncRNA from 1 species